UACGGAAGGCAGCAGUGGGGAAUAUUGCACAAUGGGCGAAAGCCUGAUGCAGCUAUGCCGCGUGUAUGAAGAAGGCCUUAGGGUUGUAAAGUACUUUCAUCGGGGAGGAAAAACAAAACUAAUAAUUUUAUUUCUUGACGUUACCCGAAAAAGAAGCACCGGCUAACUCCGUGCCAGCAGCCGCGGUAAUACGGAGGGUGCUAGCGUUAAUCAGAAUUACUGGGCGUAAAGAGCACGUAGGUGGUUUUUUAAGUCAGAUGUGAAAUCCCUGGGCUUAACCUAGGAACUGCAUUUUGAAAACUGAAAUACUAGAGUAUCGUAGAGGGAGGUAGAAUUCUAGGUGUAGCGGUGAAAUGCGUAGAUAUCUGGAGGAAUACCUGUGGCGAAAAGCGGCCUCCUAAACGAAUACUGACACUGAGGGUGCGAAAAGCGUGGGGAGCAAAACAGGGAUUAGAUACC
rnacentral:rRNA from 1 species